rnacentral:rRNA from 1 species
UGGUGGUAAUAGCGGAGGGGAAACACCCGUUCCCAUCCCGAACACGGCAGUUAAGCCCUCCAGCGCCGAUGGUACUGGGGAGUAACCCCGGGAGAGUAGGACACUGCC